rnacentral:rRNA from 1 species
ACGAACGCUGGCGGCGUGCUUAACACAUGCAAGUCGAACGCUGAAGCUUGGUGCUUGCACUGGGUGGAUGAGUGGCGAACGGGUGAGUAAUGCGUGAGUAACCUGCCCUUGACUCUGGGAUAAGCCUGGGAAACUGGGUCUAAUACUGGAUACGACAUGUCACCGCAUGGUGGUGUGUGGAAAGGGUUUUACUGGUUUUGGAUGGGCUCACGGCCUAUCAGCUUGUUGGUGGGGUAAUGGCUCACCAAGGCGACGACGGGUAGCCGGCCUGAGAGGGUGACCGGCCACACUGGGACUGAGACACGGCCCAGACUCCUACGGGAGGCAGCAGUGGGGAAUAUUGCACAAUGGGCGGAAGCCUGAUGCAGCGACGCCGCGUGAGGGAUGACGGCCUUCGGGUUGUAAACCUCUUUCAGCACGGAAGAAGCGAAAGUGACGGUACGUGCAGAAGAAGCGCCGGCUAACUACGUG